GAUCGGCCACAUUGGGACUGAGACACGGCCCAAACUCCUACGGGAGGCAGCAGUAGGGAAUCUUCCGCAAUGGACGAAAGUCUGACGGAGCAACGCCGCGUGAGUGAAGAAGGUUUUCGGAUCGUAAAACUCUGUUGUUAGAGAAGAACAUGUCUGAGAGUAACUGUUCAGGCAAUGACGGUAUCUAACCAGAAAGCCACGGCUAACUACGUGCCAGCAGCCGCGGUAAUACGUAGGUGGCAAGCGUUGUCCGGAUUUAUUGGGCGUAAAGCGAGCGCAGGCGGUUUCUUAAGUCUGAUGUGAAAGCCCACGGCUUAACCGUGGAGGGUCAUUGGAAACUGGGAAACUUGAGUGCAGAAGAGGAGAGUGGAAUUCCAUGUGUAGCGGUGAAAUGCGUAGAUAUAUGGAGGAACACCAGUGGCGAAGGCGACUCUCUGGUCUGUAACUGACGCUGAGGCUCGAAAGCGUGGGUAGCAAACAGGAUUAGAUACCCUGGUAGUCCACGCCGUAAACGAUGAGUGCUAAGUGUUGGAGGGUUUCCGCCCUUCAGUGCUGCAGUUAACGCAUUAAGCACUCCGCCUGGGGAGUACGACCGCAAGGUUGAAACUCAAAGGAAUUGACGGGGACCCGCACAAGCGGUGGAGCAUGUGGUUUAAUUCGAAGCAACGCGAAGAACCUUACCAAGUCUUGACAUCCUUUGACCACUCUAGAGAUAGAGCUUCCCCUUCGGGGGCAAAGUGACAGGUGGUGCAUGGUUGUCGUCAGCUCGUGUCGUGAGAUGUUGGGUUAAGUCCCGCAACGAGCGCAACCCUUAUCAUUAGUUGCCAGCAUUUAGUUGGGCACUCUAGUGAUACUGCCGGUGACAAACCGGAGGAAGGUGGGGAUGACGUCAAAUCAGCAUGCCCCUUAUGACUUGGGCUACACACGUGCUACAAUGGAUGGUACAACGAGCAGCGAACUCGCGAGAGUCAGCGAAUCUCUAAAAGCCAUUCUCAGUUCGGAUUGCAGGCUGCAACUCGCCUGCAUGAAGCCGGAAUCGCUAGUAAUCGCGGAUCAGCACGCCGCGGUGAAUCCGUUCCCGGGUCUUGUACACACCGCCCGUCACACCACGAGAGUUUGUAACACCCAAAGUCGGUGAGGUAACCAUUCGGAGCCAGCCGCCUAAGGUGGGACAGAUGAUUGGGGUGAAGUCGUAACAAGGUAGCCGUAUCGGAAGGUGCGGCUG
rnacentral:rRNA from 1 species